CCCCUUGAGUGUGGGCAGCACUGUGACCUGUUUCUAACCAAAAGAGAACUGGAACUUCUGUUCCUUCCGUUCGCGCACUCUCCCUGCUGUGAUGAGACAAUGGGCUGUGAUAAAGGAGAGCAAGUCACUAAAUCCGGCUUGAGGAUGAUCCUGGAUGCUAUUCCAAAUGGUCAGAAACACCAACGGGCAGCUGUAUACAAUUCAGGCUACUGUCAUGUUCUUCAUUCACAAAGCAGAAGUGUGAUUUUUCACUCAGUGUGAGAAAAAUUCAAAAACUUUUCUCUAGUUUUAAGUAAAUAAAACGUGUAAAACAACACAUGGCAAAGUAACACAUGGCAUAACUAAAUAAAUUUUUUAGACAUCUAAAAGACAUCUACAAAUCAGCAAUACUAAGUUGAUCACUGCUGAUAAACUCGUUUACAUGGAUACCACAAAUAAUUAAAAAUAAAAUAUUACAGAACGUGUCAAAGACCACAA